rnacentral:tRNA from 1 species
GCUUUUAAGGGAAAACAGCUCAUCCGUUGGUCUUAGGAACCAAAGUCUCUUGGUGCAACUCCAAGUAAAAGCU